AUAAAGAACGGGGCGGAAGCACAUUCGGGGAUGAAGCCAAAUAGGACCUCUGAAAAUCCUGAUGUGCCUGAAUCUAGAACAGAGGACAAGGGCAGUACCUCUGCUAUUAAGGAGGAUAAUGAAAUCUCUUCCUCCAGUCACACAGUUGAAGAAACCAAGAAAGAAGAAUUUCGUCCUGCAAAGGAUGAGGAUGGCAUUGUGC